rnacentral:tRNA from 1 species
GUGUAUGUAGUUCAGUAGUAGAACGCAUACAUGGUAUGCAUGAGGUCCGGGGUUCAAUCCCCAGCAUAACCA